rnacentral:rRNA from 1 species
AGUGAACGCUGGCGGUAGGCCUAACACAUGCAAGUCGAACGGCAGCACAGUAAGAGCUUGCUCUUACGGGUGGCGAGUGGCGGACGGGUGAGGAAUACAUCGGAAUCUACUUUUUCGUGGGGGAUAACGUAGGGAAACUUACGCUAAUACCGCAUACGACCUACGGGUGAAAGCAGGGGUUCUUCGGACCUUGCGCGAUUGAAUUAGCCGAUGUCGGAUUAGCUAGUUGGCGGGGUAAAGGCCCACCAAGGCGACGAUCCGUAGCUGGUCUGAGAGGAUGAUCAGCCACACUGGAACUGAGACACGGUCCAGACUCCUACGGGAGGCAGCAGUGGGGAAUAUUGGACAAUGGGCGCAAGCCUGAUGCAGCCAUACCGCGUGGGUGAAGAAGGCCUUCGGGUUGUAAAGCCCUUUUGUUGGGAAAGAAAAGCAGCAGGUUAAUACCCCGCUGUUCUGACGGUACCCAAAGAAUAAGCACCAGCUAACUUCGUG